AUCAUUCUGUCAGACUGUCCCUCUGCUGCCAUCUUUCCCAUGGCAACAAAAUGUAAUGAGAUAUUGGUGGGAAGGUUCAAUCUCUACUGCCGUACCACCACCAUCUGCCUCUGAAGUCACAGACCAAUAUAAUAACAUAGGAGGGCAUUACUUCCAGAGCAGCUCUCAUAUAUAGAGUAUAUACGUAUACACAGCAUGUGUGUAUAUAUAUGACUGAGUGCAUUUUUGUCUGUGCAUAUGUAAUUUAUUAUGUCUCACUAUAUUUUUGACAUUUGUUAUGACAUCUAUAAUUUGUGGUCUGAGGAGGCAGAGCCAUGAAAUGCGGCGAGCCAAACUGCUUCAAAUGUCUUCACUGAAAAAUAGGGGUUUGAUUUAAAAUAAAUUUUUCUCCUCAAAAAAAUAAUUUUACGAUAAAAAGAAAUCUAUCCUUUUUUAGUUUUUACAUUUUCAAGUCGCAAGGGGAAAACAUACUCUUUUCACACUCUCUUUCUCUCUUUUAUAUUUUUUUUUCAAGCACCGGCCAAAGGCAGAAAAAGAAGCAAAAGCUAAGAAGCAGAUGUAGGGUUGGGUCUUGGUUAUUUUAUUUCUCCUCUUUCUUCUUUUAUAUUCCUAAAUGAAAAAUAGGAGGUGAUAUUUUAGGCGUAACAGAAAGCUGGCGUGCUGGUUUGUUUUCUUACCAUCAGAAUGAUAUCAUGUUUUCCUAAACAAAAAUAAUGCAUGAAAAAUUUCCAACAAAAGAAAACUUUCCGUUUUUUUCCAUGAAAUGAGUGUUUACCGAGCAGUGUUGUUGUGAAUACUCCCUGCUCUGGCUACCAAGAAAGGUGCCAAAGGAAGCCCUUGGAUGAGUGGGACAGACACUGGGCUCAGGAUGAGCAGCAUAACUCCUGGCACCAAGUAUUGGUAUCCAUUGAGGCGUCCAAGGGACUUGCGGCUGAGUAAAGCAGUGAUGGUGCCUUUUCCCAUCAUCUGCUCAGGUCUUUGUGCCAUGUAUGAGCGCCUUCCAAAGGAGAGAAAUGGAGAAAUUAUGAGUGUCUAAUAGCACAAUCCUUGGAAUAAAAAUACAUGAACAUCUGCUGCUUCUGGAGGGUGUAACGACAAAGAUAUCACUAGGACAUGCUGGAAAGCAGCAACAUUUGCUGUCGUACUGGGCAGAGUUGAACAUUUUGGGGGUACCCCAAGAACAGCCCAGUUCUUCCACGAUGAUGACCCCUGCUGCAACGGGCAAGACACUCAUCUCCUGCAAGGCUUCAGCAUGAUUCAUGAUCAGGAAUGGAAGACUUAUUUAGAUACGAAGCAAUCCUUUAAAAUUCCUGAAACCAAUCACAAUACAAAUAAAAAUACAAAUGUGCCUUUAAGAAAUAUAUGUACAUAUAUCCCCAAGAGAACAAAUCUUAGCCAUGUAUGAGUCCCCUCAGUCAUCAAAACAGGUAUUUCAUUUCUUUCAAACUAAUCCCUAUGUAUUUAAAAGCAGAGGUAGGUAAGCUCAUCCUACCUAAGACCCCUUCAUCCCGGCACCGAACGUUGCCUUUCUGGUUUAAUAUUUGUGUAUCAGUAACAUACUAAGCACUCCUGUGUUGGGCAUAAUAAAAUAUUUAUCCACAAAAACCACAGAGCCCAGAUUAAUAACUCAAGAGAAGUAAAGCCAGAUUGCUGAGGUGGUAGGUGGAAGAAGAGAAAAUAUGCAGGAACUACGUGCGCUGAAGCUUCACACUUUCUUUAAACUAAGUUUGUUCUGAAUAAAGUUACUGA
ensembl:lncRNA